rnacentral:rRNA from 1 species
UACGUAGGGUGCAAGCGUUGUCCGGAAUUAUUGGGCGUAAAGAGCUCGUAGGCGGUCUGUCGCGUCGGCUGUGAAAACCCGGGGCUCAACCCCGGGCCUGCAGUCGAUACGGGCAGACUAGAGUGCGGUAGGGGAGACUGGAAUUCCUGGUGUAGCGGUGAAAUGCGCAGAUAUCGGGAGGAACACCGGUGGCGAAGGCGGAUCUCUGGGCCUUACCUGACGCUCAGGCGCGAAAGCUAGGGGAGCGAACUGG